GCCAACACAAUAAAAUAGCCGAUCAUCUGUAUCUCAAAGAAAGCGAUAUCAAAAUUGAGAUUCGAUGUGACAAAAAAUAACUCCCUUCAUCCAACGUGAUAAACUAUGUGAUAAUAUACACGUCGACUCACUUUGGACUUGGGAAUGGGGGGUAACUGUUGAGAUAAGUCAAUCAACCUCUGACUCAGAUCAAUUGAUUAUCGACUUCGACUCAACAACAGCUGAC
rnacentral:lncRNA from 1 species